CCUACGGGGUGCUGCAGUGGGGAAUAUUGGACAAUGGGCGAAAGCCUGAUCCAGCCAUGCCGCGUGUGUGAAGAAGGCCUUCGGGUUGUAAAGCACUUUCAGUGGGGAAGAAAGCCUUGGGGCUAAUAUCCUCGAGGAAGGACAUCACCCACAGAAGAAGCACCGGCUAACUCCGUGCCAGCAGCCGCGGUAAUACGGAGGGUGCGAGCGUUAAUCGGAAUUACUGGGCGUAAAGCGCGCGUAGGCGGUCUGAUAAGCCGGUUGUGAAAGCCCCGGGCUCAACCUGGGAACGGCAUCCGGAACUGUCAGGCUAGAGUGCAGGAGAGGAAGGUAGAAUUCCCGGUGUAGCGGUGAAAUGCGUAGAGAUCGGGAGGAAUACCAGUGGCGAAGGCGGCCUUCUGGACUGACACUGACGCUGAGGUGCGAAAGCGUGGGUAGCAAACAGGAUUAGAUACCCUAGUAGUC
rnacentral:rRNA from 1 species